AAGAAAGUGACAGAACGGUCAUGUACCUGGCUUGAAACCAGUGGAUGGGGGUUCAAUUCCCUCCUUUCUCG
rnacentral:tRNA from 1 species